UCUACCAUGCAGUCGAACGAUGAUGCUGGGGCUUGCUUCAGCGGAUUAGUGGCGAACGGGUGAGUAACACGUGAGUAACCUGCCCUUGACUCUGGGAUAAGCGUUGGAAACGACGUCUAAUACCGGAUAUGACCUUCAGCCGCAUGGUUUGUUGGUGGAAAGAUUUUUUGGUCAAGGAUGGACUCGCGGCCUAUCAGGUUGUUGGUGAGGUAAUGGCUCACCAAGCCUACGACGGGUAGCCGGCCUGAGAGGGUGACCGGCCACACUGGGACUGAGACACGGCCCAGACUCCUACGGGAGGCAGCAGUGGGGAAUAUUGCACAAUGGGCGAAAGCCUGAUGCAGCAACGCCGCGUGAGGGAUGACGGCCUUCGGGUUGUAAACCUCUUUUAGUAAGGAAGAAGAACUUCGGUUUGACGGUACUUGCAGAAAAAGCACCGGCUAACUACGUGCCAGCAGCCGCGGUAAUACGUAGGGUGCAAGCGUUGUCCGGAAUUAUUGGGCGUAAAGAGCUCGUAGGCGGUUUGUCGCGUCUGCUGUGAAAUCUGGAGGCUCAACCUCCAGCCUGCAGUGGGUACGGGCAGACUAGAGUGCGGUAGGGGAGAUUGGAAUUCCUGGUGUAGCGGUGGAAUGCGCAGAUAUCAGGAGGAACACCGAUGGCGAAGGCAGAUCUCUGGGCCGUAACUGACGCUGAGGAGCGAAAGCAUGGGGAGCGAACAGGAUUAGAUACCCUGGUAGUCCAUGCCGUAAA
rnacentral:rRNA from 1 species